GAGGAACCAUGGCCCAGGGACAAAUCAUGCUUAAGCCAUACGCUGCCUGAGAAGGAGAAGACCAAAGACAGCUUACAUGUUUGUUCAAGUGGGAGCAACAAAGAGAAGUUCAAGGGCAAGCAAGAUGGGGAAUAUGAGUGGCCCACACUCAUGAAGGAAGGAGUCAAACCCAGGACCUGGGAGGUCUGUGGUGGAACUUACGUGGUUUAGAGGCG
rnacentral:lncRNA from 1 species